rnacentral:rRNA from 1 species
AACGAACGCUGGCGGCAGGCUUAACACAUGCAAGUCGAGCGCCCCGCAAGGGGAGCGGCAGACGGGUGAGUAACGCGUGGGAACGUACCUUUUGGUUCGGAACAACUCCGGGAAACUGGAGCUACUACCGGAUAAGCCCUAACGGGGAAAGAUUUAUCGCCGAAAGAUCGGCCCGCGUCUGAUUAGCUAGUUGGUGAGGUAACGGCUCACCAAGGCGACGAUCAGUAGCUGGUCUGAGAGGAUGAUCAGCCACACUGGGACUGAGACACGGCCCAGACUCCUACGGGAGGCAGCAGUGGGGAAUAUUGGACAAUGGGCGCAAGCCUGAUCCAGCCAUGCCGCGUGAGUGAUGAAGGCCUUAGGGUUGUAAAGCUCUGUUGUCCGGGAAGAUAAUGACUGUACCGGAAGAAUAAGCCCCGGCUAACUUCGUG